rnacentral:rRNA from 1 species
AUUGAACGCUGGCGGCAGGCCUAACACAUGCAAGUCGAGCGGAUGAAGGGAGCUUGCUCCUGGAUUCAGCGGCGGACGGGUGAGUAAUGCCUAUGAAUCUGCCUGGUAGUGGGGGAUAACGUCCGGAAACGGGCGCUAAUACCGCAUACGUCCUGUGGGAGAAAGUGGGGGAUCUUCGGACCUCACGCUAUCAGAUGAGCCUAGGUCGGAUUAGCUAGUUGGUGGGGUAAAGGCCUACCAAGGCGACGAUCCGUAACUGGUCUGAGAGGAUGAUCAGUCACACUGGAACUGAGACACGGUCCAGACUCCUACGGGAGGCAGCAGUGGAGAAUAUUGGACAAUGGGCGAAAGCCUGAUACAGCCAUGCCGCGUGUGUGAAGAAGGUCUUCGGAUUGUAAAGCACUUUAAGUUGGGAGGAAGGGCAGUAAGUUAAUACCUUGCUGUUUGGACGUUACCAACAGAAUAAGCACCGGCGAACGUCG